rnacentral:rRNA from 1 species
GACGAACGCUGGCGGCGUGCCUAAUACAUGCAAGUUGAGCGAUGAAGAUUGGUGCUUGCACCAAUUUGAAGAGCAGCGAACGGGUGAGUAACGCGUGGGGAAUCUGCCUUUGAGCGGGGGACAACAUUUGGAAACGAAUGCUAAUACCGCAUAACAACUUUAAACAUAAGUUUUAAGUUUGAAAGAUGCAAUUGCAUCACUCAAAGAUGAUCCCGCGUUGUAUUAGCUAGUUGGUGAGGUAAAGGCUCACCAAGGCGAUGAUACAUGGCCGACCUGAGAGGGUGAUCGGCCACAUUGGGACUGAGACACGGCCCAAACUCCUACGGGAGGCAGCAGUAGGGAAUCUUCGGCAAUGGACGAAAGUCUGGCCGAGCAACGCCGCGUGAGUGAAGAAGGUUGUCGGAUCGUAAAACUCUGUUGGUAGAGAAGAACGUUGGUGAGAGUGGAAAGCUCAUCAAGUGACGGUAACUACCCAGAAAGGGACGGCUAACUACGUG